ensembl:antisense A630072M18Rik RIKEN cDNA A630072M18 gene
AGUCCGAUCCCUUUCGUAAUCUUUAAAAGACCUGUUCUCUUCUGCCUCCCCAGCCAAAAACACACCGGGGAGCAGGGUCCUCUAGACCCACUCCUUCACGCGCGUCCUGCUGCGCGUUAACUGGAAGGCGAAACCGACACCGAAAACCAGGAGUUUCAGCCAUCCCCCCGGUCGGCGACCGAAACUCCAGGCUCCAUUUACUUCUGGCCCCGCGGAAGGCUGCAGCCCCGCCGCCCCGAGCCGGCCGCCGGCGCUCCCCUCCCCCGCGCGGCACCCACCUCGCGGCAGCGGCUUCGCCUCGCCGUUCUCAUCCCGGGCGGCGGCGCCGAGGCCGUGCUGCCUCCGCUUCUCCUUCUCGCGCUUCUCCUUGGGUCUGCGCGGCUUGGCGGCGGCCGGCGGAGCGACGGGCGGGAGCAGGACGCGGUGAGGCUGAGCGUGCAGCAGCGAGGGAGUGACCAGCAGUUUGCGCGGCAGCGGCUGAGACGAGGAAGCGGAGGCUGAGGAGACGCUCGGGCUGGCGGAGAAAGAGUAACAGCUCCGAGAGGUGGACGAGGAGGAGGCGGCGGGCCGAGCCGCGAAGCUCCACGCCGCCGGGCUGCCGAAGCUCUGGGGCUGCAGCUGCCCGCCGUUCCCGCCGCUGCCCCCCUCCCCGUUCACUCUCCGCGGCGCCUUCUUCUCCUCGGUGCGAACCUUCUUGGCAGACAUAGAGCCCGGCGGCUCCCGCGAGGAAGGCUGUACUUUGCCAGAUGCUUCCUUCUCAGAGAGGAGAGCCACGGCGCCGCGAGCUGGGUUCGGCGGUUCCGCCAUUUUGCGCUCCUGUUGUAUUUACUCUCCGCCGCUCCCCGGAGCGGGGACGCGGGGCGGGGUGCCUAGGUCCAGGCCGAGCUCCCAUUGGGCGCGCUAAACUGAGAGAUCCCGGAACAAACCAAUCAAAGACGCGGACAGAAGCCGUCGGGGUGGGGUCACCGAGCGGACCUUCAUUUGGAGGUCAGAGGUCUUUUCGGCGCGGCUGAUGGAGAGCUCGCUGAGAAGGGAGGAUCUCUCGACCGUCGCUCGGGAACCCCGAAUCUGCCCGGACCGAGGUAGCGCUGCCGUUCGCUCAAAGACUUUGCCUUGUUUGUACCACUCUCUCUUUUUACCUUGAGGUGGCUUGGGUCCCUUCUGCAGGUUCUGAAAAACGAGUUCUGGGUUGCUCGUCUCGGAGAAAAUUUGUCGAGAGUCCGAUCAGCAAAGGCAGAAAUGGUGAAAAGUUGCCUUAUUUUAACUAAGGUCGUAAAAGUUCGUACUUUAAAAGAGAGUUUUCUGCAGAGCUGGAACUUGGAUCACUUCCGAUCGUGAAGAUAAAAAUCACCCACCGUUUGGAGGCUUUAAAUUGAGCUUGAGUGCUAAAGGUUUUCACUUUAAUUAUUCUUUAAACGACACCAGGAAAAAGCCACUAGCGGUGUUUGUAAAUGUUUGAAAAUGCAGUUAGAGUUCUGUAUUUCAGAGUCAGCGCUAUGAAACUUCGCCAAGCAUGUACCUUGAUUUUUAUCUCAAAAGAUAAGGAAUUUGGGGGAAUGGGUUACAACACAGCUCAAGCUUUAGACAAGAGCAUGCCUUAAAGUCUUAGAUCUUUUGUGAGAUUAGAAUGUAAAGAUAACACAUGGUCAUAUUAGCUCAGCAAGAAAAAGGAGUUUUCUGAUCCCCUAAGAGGGACAUUAGCAGUUACUUUCCGCAGCUAACAGUUGCCUUUCAGGAAACUGCAAUGGUCUGUUACUCUUCUUUUACUCCAAACCCACUUCUUUAGGACUCGGUGAGGGGAACACAUCAAAAUCUAACGCUGUUUGUAAAUACAUUUUUCUUUUUUUGGUUGGUUGGUUCGUUUGUUUUUUGAGUCAUAGUCUUCCAAUAUUGUCCUGGCUGUCCUGUAAACCAGCCUGGCCUCGAACUCAAAUCUUCCUGCAUUUGCCCAACUCCCUUUCCCCCAGUGCUGGAAUUAAAGAAAGGUGUGUACCACUGCAUCUGUCCUCAUUGUUUUUAGUUUUUAGAAGUAAAUUGUUAAUAUAUAGAGUAUUCCCUGAAGCUAGACCCAGAGAGACAAAUUUUGCAUAUUUUCUCUAAUGUGUGUAAUCUAGUUUUAAAAACACACACACAACAUAAAAAUAGAAGGGAAAUGGGAAAAAGAAAGGUGAUGAGCAUAAGAAAGAAAGUCACUUCAUCUCCCUCACCUGGGAAUGAGUAUGUCUACAUCCAGGGCAGGGGAUGAGGGAGUGGUGGUGUGACUGAGCAAACAAGGGUACAACAUGGAAAGUGUUGGAAUGAAACUGAACGCUAAGUAAGAAAACAAAAGGAAAAGGGGUUUCCUCUCUAGAUUAUCUAAUUGGGACAUUCAUAACAGUGUCAGUUAGUCUAAUGAUUUUUUUUUAAUUUUUUCGGUUUUUGAGACAGGGUUUCUCUGUAUAGCCCUGGCUGUCCUGGAACUCACUCUAGACCAGGCUGGCCUCAAACUCAGAAAUCCGCCUGUCUCUGCCUCCUAAGUGCUGGGAUUAAGGGUGUGUGCCACUGCUGCAAGGCUCUAAUGAUCUUUUUAAAAUGCAUUUUUCUAUUUUUUUCUCUUUUAGAAAGCAUUUGCUUGUGCAGAGGGGAACAAUGUCCGGGAGCAGAAUUAAUGAUCUAUUAAAUAAAAACACAACUAUGUUAUGUCUGCAUGGCAAAAAUUAAAUAUCCAGCCAGGCAGUGGUGGCUCACGCCCUUAAUCCCAGCACUUGGGAGGCAGAGGCAGGCAGAUUUCUGAGUUCGAGGCCAGCCUGAUCUACAGAGUGAGAUCCAGGACAGCCAGGGCUAAACAGAGAAACCCUGUCUCCAAAAACCAAAAUAAAUAAAUAAAUAUCCUAGCAGAAAGCAGGUGCUGCAGUGAACUGGCCUGUCUUCCUGGGGAGUGGCAUACAAUGGGGGAAACGAUAGGACUGGCAGUCACCCACUCACCAGCCUUGAGAUUCUACUCAGGCCGCUUUGCCUGGGAAGCUCUCUGUUGUCUUAUUUGGUAAAUUUGACUACAAGGUUCCUCUAUUCUUGAUUUGCCAUUUUCAAGAUUUGCAGAAUCACAUUGUAACUGUUAAAGUUAAAAUAAUUUCUCAGCACACUGGAGGCAGAUCUGCAGGCAAAUCUCUGAAUUCCGGGCUAACCUAGUCUACAGAGUGAGUUCCAGGACAGUCAAGGCUACACAAAAAAAAAAAAAAAAAAACCUCUGUCUCAAAAGAAAACAAAACAAACAAACAAAAAGUAAGGAAACACUUAAAAUAAUUUACCGUCAGACAUGGUGAUACAGCCCUGUGAUCUCGGCAUUUUAGAGGGAGCCACAAAAGGAUCAGAUCCCCAACUAACGGCAUAGUAAACUCAGGCCAAUAUGGGCUACAUGCAUACCUAUCUCAGAAACUGAAGCAAAGUACAUUGUAAAGUAUUUUCCUUAUUAUUGUGUGUGUACUGCUGUUUGCCUACAUAUGCAUGUGUAUAUCACAUAUAUGUCAGAUGCCUGUGGAAGCCAGAAGAGAACAGUGGAUUCCGUGGACCUGGAGUUAUGGCCGGUGGUGAGCUGCCUUGCUAGGGAACAAAUCCAUGUCCUCUCGCAAAACAAGUACUCUUAGCCACUGACCAUCUCUCUAAAGCCCAAAAUAACUUUUGUUCCCUCCCCUCCCCUCCCCUCCUCAUGGAGGCCAGAAGAGGACAACAGAUUCCCUGAAAUUGUCCUUAGAUGUUGUUGUGAGCCAGCAAGUAUAGACACUGGAAUCUGAACUCAGGCCCUCUGCAAGAGCAGCAAGUGCUCUCUGCUCCUGCCCACUGAGCCAUUUCCCCAGCCCUGUGUGACUCUGCUUUUAAAACGUUUGCUAAGAUAUCGGAGCCAAAUGUACGAAGUAACCAUAUAACCUUUCUGUCCAAAAGUAAUGUUUUAAAUAAAUGCAGCGUGAGUGACGGGGAAAUUAACUGCUGAUUUGAACAGUUGCCGUCAGUUUCCAUGACUGUCUCAGGAGGAACCUUUUCACAGUAUUUACAGACUUGUCAAACAGUAAUAAGUGAUGCCUUCAUGGUCUACACAAAGGCCUUUUUUCACCUACUUCUGGCCGAAAACUUAUGGGUCCUUAUUUUCUCUGGCCGAUCCUGAAAAUGCUCAUGACAUCCAUAAACUGCUAACAGCCCCAGUUUAAUCUCUCAGAACUCGGUUGUCCCUUGUGUGUCCUCACUGCCCAACAUCCUGCAUAGGUCUCCUGCCAGUGCCUGCAUUCUUAUUUUUUUUUUAGCUUCCUGAAUCCUUAUUUCUUUGAGGUUGAUGAACCUCAUUAAGGGGGUAAAAAAGAUAGAGCGUGCACGCUAUGCAACCUCCAUUACUCCUGGGCCUGAGGUAAAAUGUCAAGGAACCCUUCCUCUAACGCUUUCAGGAAAGCUCCCGGGGAGGAGGACCUUGGCCCCUUCUCACUUCCUGAAGCUUAAGAGAAACUGACAAGAUUAUAAACGUAUGGGUCACUUUUCUUAACAUUUCUGAUCGCUCAGGUAAACUGCACUCUCACUUCCUCCCCACUAAUAUCAGCUUACAGUAAAUACUGCAUAACCAGUUUCUUAACCACAAUUUGUCGUUCAGUUUGAAUGUGUACUUAAGUUUGGGACAGAGGUGAGAACUGGAGGUGAAAGAUCAGUCAGCCCCUGUCUAAAAGCUUCCUUGGUGAGCCAGUAGCAACCACAAAGCAGGAAGCAGAAGGGAGAGGGCAGAAUCAGCCGGGCAGAGUGAGUAGAAGCCAUCGGGUUUUGUUUUGUUUUGUUUUGUUUUAAUCUAUACUCUAAGUGCAUCAGUGUUGCUUGCACGUACGUCUGAGGGUAUUGGAGCCUCUGGAGCUGGAGUUACAGUGGUGAGCCCCCAUGUGAGUUCUGGAAAUUGAACCGUGGUCCUCUAGAAGAGCAGCCAGUGCUCUUAACUGCUAAAGCAUCUCUCCAGCCCUCCAGCCCUGGAGUUCUUUUAACAAAUGUUUAUUGGUGAAAUGGCUCAGCAAGAAUGAAGGCAUUGGCACAGAGCCUAACAAACUGAGUUCAGUCCCCAAGGCCCAUAUGGUGGAAGGGAGAACUGAUCCCAGCAAGUGGUCCUCUGACCCUGCAUGUGUACUGUGGAAAUCUCCUGCAUGUAUACAUAUACAAGUCCUCUCCCUCUCCCUCCCCCUCCCUCUCUCUCUCACACCCACAAUAUAAAUAAAUGUUAUAAAAAUGGUUUUGUUUUUAUUUUUGUUUUUUAGAGGCAGGUUCUCUCUACAUAGCCCUGACAGUCCUGGAAAUCACUAUGUAGACCAGGCUACCCUUGAACGCACAAAGAUCUACCUGCUUCUGCCUCCCAGUGCUAGGAUUAAAGGCAACCAGACCCAGCAAAUGUAAUAAAAAAUGCUUUUAAACUUG